rnacentral:rRNA from 1 species
CAAAUCCCCAAUCCCCCGCGCCGCCGCCCCGCUCGCCGUCGUACGGAUUCCGCCCCCGCGGCCCCGGCCGGCCCCCAAUCGCCGUUUGCCGUGGAGGCGGGGUCCCCUCGCGGCGUCGGUAGCCCGCCCCGCGAUUCUAGGGUUUCGGGCGGGGGUGCCCCAAUUCGCCGGCCCGGCCUCGCGCCUCGGUCCCGCGGGCGCUCGGUCCGCCCCGCGAGCGUCCUGAUCGCUCGCGCUCGCUCCUCGCUGCCGCUCUGUCGACUGCUGCCGUCUGGAAGAAAUAUUGCAGCUUUUGAAGGGUUUCGCCGUGUGUGCCCGCCCUCGGGAGUGGCUGCCGCUUCUUUCAGCUUGCUCCGCGCCACGCCGCGCUGGAAUGACGUCGCCCGCCCUUGUCUGAGGCGCGGCUGCCAGCGACAAUGAAUGUGGGGCAGGCGGCGCACCUGUCCGGGCAGAUGUCCGGGCAGGGGGCGCAGAUGAAUCAGGUUGUUGGCGGUGGCAGCGGUGUCGUCGGCGCUGACGGCAUGCCCCUGCCCCAGCACCAGCAGAUGCAGGAUGGCGUGGGCCUUGUUGCCCCGGGGGUCGAUCAACAGUUUGCGCUCAUGCGCUCCAAUAUGCGCGACAAGAUAUAUGAGUAUAUAGGAAGGAAGCAGACAUCUGCUGACUGGAGGCGGAGGCUGCCGGAACUCGCAAAGCGGCUAGAGGAAAUCUUGUUUAGAAAAUUCCCAAGCAGGAAUGAGUACUACAAUAUGAUGAGGCAACCAGUGGAGCCACAAUUGCAGUUUGCUAUCAAGACCUUGAGUGCUCAGAACCAACUAAAUCAACAAAACCAACAAAUGUCAAGGCAGAUGGCAUCUUCCUCUGGUUAUAGCACAAUGAUUCCAACACCUGGUAUCACACAAGGUGCAAGUGGAAAUUCUAGAAUGUCUUAUGGAACAGACAAUAUGGGUCUUUCCUCAUCUGGUGCAGGCAUGGUUCCUCAGAAUGCCAACAUGGGUACCUCGAUGCCUGGUGCAAUGUCUAACGGCUACCAGCAUCUAACUACCAGUGCCCCACUAAAUUCGACCACAAAUAGUGUCCCAUCUACGAUGGGUCCAGUGGGUAUUCAGCGACAAGUAACUCAUAUGAUCCCAACUCCUGGAUUCAGUAAUCAACAAAAUGUACCUACUAAUUCUGACUAUUCAAAUGGAACUGGAUAUUUCAAUGGUGAGUCAGCUAUGACACCACAUAUGCAGCAGCAGAAGCAAUUUCAAAGCAACCAGAGUAGCCAUCAAAUACAGCAUAUUGGGGGGCACAGUAAUUCUGGAAUACAUUCAAGCAUGCUGGAGAAUUCUUCUGCAUUUGGUUUAUCAGAUGGACAUGUGAAUGGUGGAAUGGGAUUGCAUGGGUCAAACACGCAGAUUACAAAUAGAAACGCAGCACCAGAAGGAUAUAUGAACAUAUCCUCUUUUGGAAGUUCGCCCAGACCUUUGCAGCAACAGUUCAAUCAGCAUCCAACACAGAGAAUAUCAACAUCAGUUGACAUGGGUGGCUCAGGAAGUUUCUACGGUACUGGUUCUUCUGCUUUAGCAACAGCAAAUAAUCAGAACAUGGGUGCUGCAAACUUGCAGUCUAGAUCAAGAAUGAAUUCCAUGCUGCUUAGCAAUCAGCUAAACAUGCAAUCCAUUCAAGGGCAGCCACAGAUAAAAACUGAGGUUUUGGAUCAGUCAGAAAAACUCAAUUUCCAGCCAUCUCAGUUGUCUCAUGAACAACUACUCCGACAGCAGCUUUCAAUGCAGCAACAUCAGGUGCAGCCAAGUUCCCAGUUUGUGCAAAACCAAUACCAUCUCAAUCAACAGAUACCAAAUUCACAGCAUCAGCAGGCUAUGCUGAGGAGCAAUUCCUUUAAACAGUCUCAACUGAAUUCCAGCCAUUCUAUGCAAGUGUCAGAACAGGGAACUUUGCCACACACCGAACUAACAUCUUCACAAGCUAUUGAACCUCCUGCACUUCCAAAUUUCCAGGGUCAAUACCAGCAAAGAAGUGCUCAUGAUAACGUCAAAGGUGCGCAGGUGUUUGGACAUCUUUCUGGAUCUCAAAAUUUCAGUGCUUCUGGUUCUCACGAUUCUCAGCCAUUGUUGCACCCUAAUCAGCAGCUUGAUGUUAGCUCGAAUGAUGUCAGUUAUGUUUUGAAAGGAACACAGACAGAGCAAAUGCAGCAGCACCAAUGGCGGCCUCAAACAAUGGAAAAGGUUCCUAUCAGUAGCAAUUUAUCUCUUGAAAAGCAGAUACAGGAUGACUUUUGUCAGAGAACAAUGGCCCAGGACGGAGCACAGCAGCCAUUUUCAUCUGACUGGCGUGUUUCUGGUUGCACUGUGACCUCAGUUGACCCUGCACUGCCAAAGCUCCCCGCUGGAGGAUUGGAACAGCCCACUGGAAAUAUCAAUUACCUCCGUCAGAUGAGGUGGUUACUGUUGCUGUUUCAUGCAAAAGGAUGUUCUUCUCCUCUUGGUAGUUGUAAAUUACCUCGUUGUGUUCAGCUGCAGGAUUUUGUGAAGCAUUUGGACAACUGCCAAAGAAAAGAUUGUCCACAGAAGAAGUGCAGUAAGUCAAGAAUGUUAAUUGAGCAUUAUAAGACUUGUGUUGAUGAGCAGUGUCCUGUAUGUAGUAAUGUAAAGAAAUUUUUGCGCCUCUCGGCUGAACAUGCAAGUAAGCAAAAAGUCCCUGAGCCUAGAAAAGUUGCUCAACAGAAUAUGACUCAAAGAAUCAUGAAUGGGGUAGACAGUGAUAUAAUGGACAUUGACCCAGUGUCUGUUGAAUCCUUUGAUGGUCAGCCAUCUGUUCCAAAACGUUUGAAGAUGCAGCCCGCGUCACCCAAUGUUCCAGAGCAUGAAAUACUUAGAGCCUCCAAUCCUCAGGUGAACCCAGGGUUUGUAUUACAGGAAUCACAUCCCGAGCUGCUUGAGCAGAAUAAAAAGACGGCAUACAUGAAAAGAGAGUUGGAUGUAAAGGCUGACAUGCGACCUCUGCAGAAGCCCGUAAAGAUGGGUUAUGGUGCUGAUGGAAAUGUGCCUACAGCGAGGCACAAUGUCAUUCCUACUGUUUCAAAUGAGAUGAAGUCUCAUGUCAAGCAAGAAAUCUUGCCGGUUGACAAAGGGACAAGUGAAAAUGUUCAUGAGGUUAAGAAUGAAACAAAUGAUUCAACAGAGGCCACAGCAUUGAAAUCAGGAAAACCAAAAAUAAAAGGUGUUUCAUUGACUGAGUUGUUCACUCCAGAACAAAUCAAUGCACAUAUAGAGAGUCUAAGGCUGUGGGUGGGCCAGAGCAAGGCUAAAGCUGAAAAGAAUCAACUGCUGGUGUCUUCCGAAAAUGAAAAUUCAUGCCAGCUCUGCAAAGUGGAAAAACUCACUUUUGAACCUCCACCCAUAUAUUGCUCCCCUUGUGGUGCUCGGAUAAAGCGAAAUGCACCAUACUAUACUGUUGGUUCUGGUGACACCCGCCACUUUUUCUGUAUUCCAUGUUACAAUGAGUCCCGUGGUGACACCAUUGAGGUUGAAGGACAGAAUUUUUUGAAGGCCCGAUUUGAGAAGAAAAGAAAUGAUGAGGAAACUGAAGAAUGGUGGGUUCAGUGUGACAAAUGUGAAUGCUGGCAGCAUCAGAUAUGUGCUCUGUUUAAUGGUAGAAGAAAUGAUGGAGGACAAGCAGAGUAUACUUGCCCGAAUUGCUAUAGUAAUGAAGUGAAGUGUGGGCUGCGCAUGCCUCUACCACAGAGUGCUGUUCUUGGAGCAAGUGAUCUGCCAAGAACUGUUCUUAGCGACCAUAUAGAAGAGCGGCUUUUUAAACGGCUUAAGUGGGAGAGACAGAAUCGGGCGAAUAGUUCAAAUUGUAGUGUUGAUGAGGUCGCCGGAGCAGAAGGUCUUGUGGUCAGAGUUGUUUCAUCGGUGGAUAAGAAGGUUGAAGUUAAACCACGCUUUUUGGAAAUUUUUCAAGAAGAUAAUUACCCGACAGAGUUCCCUUACAAGUCCAAGGCUGUUCUUUUGUUCCAGAAAAUAGAAGGCGUAGAAGUGUGCUUAUUUGGAAUGUAUGUUCAAGAAUUUGGUGCUGACUGCGCUUACCCGAACCAACGUCGAGUUUAUUUGUCAUACCUGGAUUCUGUGAAAUACUUCAGACCUGAGAUUAAAGCAGCCACUGGAGAGGCCUUGCGUACAUUCGUCUACCAUGAAAUUCUGAUAGGAUAUCUUGAAUACUGCAAGCAGCGUGGAUUCACAAGCUGUUAUAUAUGGGCUUGCCCACCUUUGAAAGGUGAAGAUUACAUUUUAUAUUGCCAUCCUGAGAUUCAGAAGACUCCAAAAUCUGACAAACUGCGGGAGUGGUACUUAGCCAUGCUUCGAAAAGCUACUAAGGAGGAGAUUGUUGUUGAGCUUACAAAUCUGUAUGACCAUUUCUUCAUUACCAUGGGAGAGUGCAAGGCUAAAGUUACCGCUUCUCGUUUGCCUUACUUCGAUGGAGAUUAUUGGCCUGGAGCUGCGGAAGAUAUGAUUAAUCAACUGCGUCAAGAAGAAGAUGACCGAAAGCUUCAGAAGAAGAGUAAGACAAAGAAAAUUAUUACAAAAAGAGCGCUUAAAGCUGCUGGCCACACUGAUCUCAGUGGAAAUGCUUCUAAGGACGCUAUGCUGAUGCAGAAGCUUGGGGAAACCAUUUAUCCAAUGAAGGAAGAUUUUAUUAUGGUCCAUUUGCAGUAUUCUUGUAGCCACUGCUGUAUCCUUAUGUCGUCUGGAAAACGCUGGGUUUGCCAUCAAUGCAGAAGUUUUUACAUCUGUGACAAGUGUUACAGUGCAGAACAACAUCUUGAAGAUAGGGAGAGGCAUCCGAGUAAUAGUAGAGACACACAUAAGCUCCAUCCAGUUGACAUUGUUGGGGUGCCUGAAGAGACAAAGGAUAGAGACGAUAUUCUAGAAAGUGAGUUUUUUGACACCAGGCAGGCAUUUCUCAGUCUUUGUCAAGGGAACCAUUACCAAUAUGACACCCUUCGCCGUGCUAAGCAUUCGUCAAUGAUGGUGUUGUACCACCUACAUAAUCCCACUGCACCAGCGUUUGUCACUACAUGCAAUGUCUGUAGCCAUGAUAUUGAAACUGGUCAAGGCUGGCGGUGUGAAAUUUGUCCAGAUUUUGAUGUGUGCAAUGGUUGUUACCAAAAAGGAGCAGUCAAUCAUCCUCACAAGUUGACAAACCAUCCAUCAGUUGCCGACCGUGAUGCCCAAAACAAGGAAGCCCGGCAAAUGCGUGUUCAACAGCUAAGGAAAAUGCUCGAUCUUCUGGUACAUGCCUCGACAUGCCGCUCUGGCAGCUGCCAAUAUCCUAACUGCCGUAAAGUCAAGGGACUAUUUCGGCAUGGGAUGCAGUGCAAGACGCGUGCUUCCGGAGGGUGUGCCCUGUGCAAGAAAAUGUGGUACAUGCUUCAGCUCCAUGCCCGAGCUUGCAGAGAUUCAGGAUGCAGUGUNNNNNNNUACAGGGAUCUCAAAGAGCAUCUUAGAAGGCUGCAACAGCAGUCCGAUUCCCGGAGGAGGGCUGCUGUUAAUGAGAUGAUGAGACAGAGAGCAGCAGAGGUUGCUACAACAUGAUUAGUUGCAUCUGUACAGGUAUACUGUCGUCGAAAGAAGAUUAGGAAAGUGUGCAGGGUCUCAGUCCUCUCAUCACCCACACCAAGUCGAAACUUGGGAUCGUUGAAUUGGAGGAUCCAGGUCGACCGAUCGUCCUGGAAGAUGGAAGAAGACGCUGGCCAUUCUUCGCCGACGAUUAACAUAGGGGCUCGGAAGCCUGCCAUUCUCCGAAGGGUGAAGGGCGCAGCGCACCACAGUAGGUGGUGACUGUUUGCGCCCUGCUGACUGCCGCUGAUGUCGUUGAUAGGAACCGGCCCGGCCCCUUGGGUGUGGUGAUUCUUUCGUUUGACCUGUACUAGUUGGACUAAUCUUGUUUUUGCUGCUUGCCUGCUCCAUCGUCGACGUUCAUGUAUAAUAGGUCUCUGGAUCCUCUAUUGUUGAAAAACAAUGGUUGUAGCCGCUGCUGUUUUGUUCCCCCCUCCGUUCUGGUUUCUUGUCGCCUCGGUCAGGAGGGGUAUAGUAGGGAGAAAGAAGGUAGAGGGAUGGGCACUGGACAUGGUUCUGUUUAUUUAUGUCCCCCUCCCAUUUUGUAGGACAAGUCUUUAUUUUGAAAGUAUAAAGGAAAGUAAAUCCUGCGUCUUUCUUUGCCCCUCCUUUCUUGCAAGGUAAUGCAUGGU